rnacentral:rRNA from 1 species
AUAUCAAUAAGCGGAGGAAAAGAAACCAACAGGGAUUGCCCCAGUAACGGCGAGUGAAGCGGCAAAAGCUCAAAUUUGAAAUCCUUCGGGAGUUGUAAUUUGUAGGUUGGGAGGUCAGUGGCUUCGGAAUCAAGUCCCUUGGAACAGGGCGCCGCAGAGGGUGAGAGCCCCGUAGAUUCCUGCCAGCCACGUCAUCCUCCCGUCCAAAGAGUCGAGUUGUUUGGGAAUGCAGCUCAAAGUGGGUGGUAAAUUCCAUCUAAAGCUAAAUACCGGCGAGAGACCGAUAGCGAACAAGUACAGUGAUGGAAAGAUGAAAAGCACUUUGAAAAGAGAGUGAAACAGUACGUGAAAUUGUUGAAAGGGAAGGGCUUGCAAGCAGACACGGCCUUUUGGCCGGGCCAGCAUCGGUUGCUGGGGGUGGACAAGGAACCAGGAAUGUAGCUUUCGAGUAUUAUAUCCUGGUGCGAUACACCCACCGGCGACCGAGGCCUGCGAUUCUAUAUCUAGGAUGCUGGCGUAAUGGU